GACGAACGCUGGCGGCGUGCUUAACACAUGCAAGUCGAGCGGUAAGGCCCUUUCGGGGUACACGAGCGGCGAACGGGUGAGUAACACGUGGGUGACCUGCCCUCAGCUCUGGGAUAAGCCUGGGAAACUGGGUCUAAUACUGGAUAUGACUCCACGGUGCAUGUCGUGGGGUGGAAAGCCUCGUGCGGCUGAGGAUGGGCCCGCGGCCUAUCAGCUUGUUGGUGGGGUGAUGGCCUACCAAGGCGACGACGGGUAGCCGGCCUGAGAGGGCGACCGGCCACACUGGGACUGAGACACGGCCCAGACUCCUACGGGAGGCAGCAGUGGGGAAUCUUGCGCAAUGGGCGAAAGCCUGACGCAGCGACGCCGCGUGAGGGAUGACGGCCUGGUGUAAC
rnacentral:rRNA from 1 species